CAAGCAAUAUACCAUCUCGACCACCUCGUGGUCCAUAUGAUCACCUCGUGAUCAAAACAUCCACCUGAUCACCUCGUGAUCAACAUAUCCACACGGUCACCUCGUGACCACAUCACAAACUGAAUGAUCAUCCUCAAGAUCAUCUCAACAUCAUCAUCAACAUCCUGCCAAACUGUUACUGCUCACAUACAUCAUAUAAAUCAACUAUAAGUCAUUCCGUCACGUGAGUGUUGAUCGAACGGUGUGACCUAGUAUGGACGCGGCUAUCGAUAGCUUAAACACACACUCUGCAGAGGUAGCACACUGUACCCACACCAUGGAACCCAUGGCCUCGCACUCCCAUUCGGGUGGACCAACGGCGUUCCGACAAAACCGAUCUACUGCCAUGACACUCUCCCGGCCACUCCGACCAACACCCCCUUUGGGUUCAGUCCUGGGUGGCCCCGUGCCUACCAAAGGCACCAACAGCCACCGUUGUGGCAAAACGGCCACCGUCGUGGCAAACAAAAACGGUCCCAAACGGGGACAAAAGCGCGCAAAAUCCAACUACGGGCACACAAGGCUUAUGUACGCCUACCUGAUCAGGGUAGCGCGCGCCCAUAACCUUCCCUCGGUGGAGGCACCGGCGAGAGACACGGCAAUAGCAUCACAUUAGGGCCUUCCCAUAAAGGCAAAUGUGGUUGCACUGGAGAAAGCCCGGUUCGGUGGCACCUGACCAACUUAAUGACGGAAUUUAUCCCGAAAAAUAUAACUGUGAUAACUGAUACUCCGAUAUCAACUAUCAAACUAUAAUCCAAGUCAUAGCAAUAUCCAACAAAUAAUCUGAGCAUAAUAUCAUCAUAUCAAAAUACUCCAAGGAUAGCAUAACAUUUCUAUCAUGAUGAAUCUGAAAACAAUAACUCUGCUACUCCAAUAACAAGAACAAAGCUAUCUAGCUAAGAUCCACACGUAAACAUCAUCUCCAAAAUUAAUACUCCAAGCAACAGUAACAGAAUAUCGACUAGCAUCAUGAAAAUAAUCAUACUAACCACUAAUAAUCCAAAGGCACCAUGACAUCCAAAGUAAUACUCCAAAAUAUAAUAACAGAUAUCAUCAUGAAAACAAUCAUAAUAUCAACCACUAAUACUCCAAUGGCAACAUGAUACUCAUCAACUACAAACAUAACUCCUAGUAAUCCAAACAAUAGCAUGGCAACAACAAGAUCAAAAUAAUACUCUGAGAAAAUGCCAUGCACAAAGUCAUGUAGCUAAAGCAAUAUUUUAAACAAGUUCAAAUAUAUUAAACCAUGUCACUGCAUUACAGUGAUGCAAAUGGAGGGUGUGGCUUGCCUGGGGUGGAAGAAAUCACCGGGAAGGAGUGCGAGAAGCUCGCGGAAAGAAUCACCAAAAAACGUUCUCUCUCGGAGGGGGCUGAUUAAGCGCAAGGGCAAAGUGGUCAUUUUCAGAAUGUGAAAACAUGGUGAAGAUGAUUCCAUUGGAACGGGCUCGACGAAACGAAGAAGUGGGCUUUGGAUUCACCUGAUUUGGAGCUAUGGGGAAAAGAUAUGAAUGUUUUUCUGCCAGGGACCUAUCUGUAAAGAAAUCAUCACAAACAGGCCCUCGGCUGAAAAAACAGAAAGCGCACUUUACGAAAAUAGGCCUUCUCCUAAGGAAAACAUAUUACUCGCUGCAACAGAGAUAAAAUACGCUUUCAGAAGAGGAAAACGUACUCUGCUUGAAGGAGAGGGAAAAUACACUUUCCACAAAUGAAAACGUACUCACGGGUUUGCGCCUCCACUUAAUCCAGUCAGCAGGGUGCGGGGCCGGGGCUUGGGUCUCUGACACGUGGAGCCACGGGGUCCACACAUGGUCAACUCUCUCCUCCCGCCUCCUUCUCCUUCUUCCCCCGACACCGCACGCAGAGCAGAGGAGAGGCCGCCGGCGCCGGCGCUCGCUCCGGCCACUCGGGCCACCUCCGGCAGAGCUUGGACCGCCGGCGUGCUCAGGACGGCGAGGCGCACCCGUCCCUCCACCACUCGAACAUCAGGGAGAAACGGGCAAGGCGGGACCAUGGCCGCGGCGGACGGGGCUCUCCGGGCUCCGGGGAACUCGUGGCCAGAGGCCACCGGAGAAUGAAUGGGGCACUUGGGUGGAUCUAGGGUGGAUGAGGAGGCCUCUGGUGGUGCUAGAAUGGAGGGAGACAGCUCGACUCGCUCGGAUUUAGGCCGGAGGGGGCGGCGGCCAUGGCAAAUGGAGGACGAGCAAAGGGGCUCCGGUGCUCGGUGAAGAGGUUUGGGAGGUGUAGUGAAGUGAGGCAAAGGCGAUGGUGAGGUCGAGAGGCCUCGGGGUGGGAUUAUAUAGGGGAGGGGAGGGGCUGCUGCGCUGGCGUCGCCAUGGACGCGUGGCCGGCGCAGCAGACGCGUGGCCGGCGCAGCGGACGCGUGCCCACGCUCGCGAGCUCGGAGGUAGACGACGUAGGAGGAGCAGUGGAGGUUCUCACGGGGCAGAGGAGGCCAAGAGAUGCAGGGGAGAAGCGGCCGAGGAGGAAAACGACGGUCGGUGCACUGUGCUCUCGUGGGCGUUCAGCUGCGAGCGUCGGUGAGGAAGCGGACCAAGGGGGAGAGGGGUCUAGGGGAACGGCGAUGACGCGGGCCAGCUGCUGGACACGCUCACGCGCGCGAAGCCGAUGAGGGGGAGAGGGGCCGGAGCUAGAAGACGCUUUGGGCGCGACCAACGGCAGCAGAGCGCGCGCACUGUUGUGCCAUUAACGCGGUCACCGCGUGCACUAGCAUGUAGUGGGGGCAAUGAGCUGGAAUGUGUUGUCUAGUGGUAAGUUCUUCCAAGGAAGGUUUCAACUGUGGUGGUAGAUCGAUGAAAAACUCUCUGGUUAAAUGGUAAUCAUCGUCUGAAGUUUACUGCAGUAAACUUUGUUGUGCACUGGUGAUCAACAGGGAAGUUAUUGUGGUCAAUGGAGUUGUCUGGGGUGAUUAACUAUGGAAGGACUAUGAUACUGGAGGUUUUGGUGCAUAAUGGAUCACAAACUAAUAUAGUUGUUGUGUAACCCCAAAAUUGGUCCGGAAUCAAGAUUUGGAUGAUGCACUCACAUGGUGAUGCCACUUGAGCUAGAAUUUGGCAAGGCAUCAUGAUUUGGUCAUAAGAAGAUGCUGUAAAAAGUUUGCACCAAAUGGAUUCACCAAAAUGGUACUUCCUUCACAGCUAUUCCCUCUGUCCAGAAACUUGCAGAAAUUCUAGAGAAAUAUUGGCUUUAAUAAUUGAUCCCAAAAUUGGUGGAGAGAUGUUAUUUGGGUAGGAGAAUGAUCAGGUAAAUUUUCAGGCAAAAUUAAGCAAUAUAAAAUAUACUUGCUUCACAACCUGAAAAUAUUGACAGAAUCAAAGAUUUGAUCCUGUGCUCACAUAGAUCAAGGGAUGGAGCUGAAAUUUGGAGGAGUGUGAUAAUAUGAGAACAUGAAGGAGUGUGCAAAAGUAAAACUCAUUUGGAUACUCCUAGUUAGUACUUCCUUCACAAAGCCUUCUGUCUGACAGAAACUUUGAAAAAUCACUGAGGAAGAUUGGCUAGGCAAAUAAAGUUGAACUUGUGCAUGAGGCAAUGAUUUGGACAUAAAAGAAUUCCCAAGGAGUUUGGGAGCAACUCGGAAAAUAUAAAUGACACUUCCUUCACAAAGUGCCAUUUAGGGCAAAAUAGAAGAAUAAUUUUUGGGGAAUUAUUCUUGGGCUAGGGGAUGAAAGUUUGGGCAUAUUUGAGCAACAUAUGACCCAAAGAAAUUAUGAGAAUUAAUUGGGAUUUUUGGGAGUGACAGAAAUAUAGGUUGCUUCACAACCUAGGGCAGACAGGGUUAUUCCUUUAAAAAAGGAAUAUUCCCUAGAAAAAAAGAUUUUAGGGUUUGGUCAAAGAGUGAAGUGACAUGAUCUUGGCAAGGUUUUGAGAGUGAUGAGCCACUUGGGAGGGGGAAUGAGGAUGAUUUCCCAGGUGGCAAGGCCACAGAACCACUCCAAAAUGAAAAACAGAGCAAAAACCAAUAAAUCAAAAAGAAAAGGGAAAGGGCCAAAAACCAGGCUGUUACAGCUCUUACCCCCCUUAAAGAAAUCUCGUCCUCGAGAUUUAGUUGCUCAGGGAACAAGUAUGUCUUGAGGACACCAUUUCCCACUCAGGUAUCCUUUUUCCUUUAUUUAUUGUUCCCCCAGGAAUUUUAUAUGAUUUGAUUAUCUUUGCUCGGGUGUGGUUUGCUUCACCUUUCCCCAAAUUCUGACGGGUUUUUGCUCACACACCAAAUCCUUUUGCUGAUGUUGAUUCUUUCAUAUCUUCAGUGAUAUCCAAUGGAUCUGAGCAUAAAUUUCCUUUUGUCAUGAAAACCUUAAUACUUCUGUCAUGGGGUUGCUUCAAAUAAAUGCAGGCCUUCUGGUUUCAAUAAAGGCUGAGAAUUAAUCAUGGCCAUCUUCUGACGGGAUCUGACUUCUCAUAAGUGGUACUGAUUUAUUUUGAUUUAUUCUUUUCGCUCGAGCAUGAGAUAUGUACCAAAGAUCUGACUGCCUUUUGUCAGGAGCAAUAUAACGGUGUAUGGAGUUAUAGUUGUGUCAUACCUCAAAUAUUUACAUCUUGAGACUGGUCCGAUAGGGGGCUGAGGGACAAAUGCUUUUCCUGACCGUGUACUUGAUUCCGUCGGUGAGUAUACCGGGUCUGAGCUGAUUGUUCAGCUUUUGAUUUUCUCAUUUUGUCGGUAUACCCAAUUGGAUUUUUUUCACACUAACCAUUCCAAGCGGGUCAGCGGGACAUGAAAUCCUUGUAAAACAGAGUAAUCCUCUGAGGGUAUGCCUUUGUAGAUUCAUAUGGAAAUUAUGGCCUCCAACUGACUUGGGUAUCCGGACCCUGUCCUUUAUUCUUCGUAUGACCAUGGUUGUGGUUAGUGCAAUAUUUUUGCCAUUAUUCCUUGUGCUUGGGUUCCGCACGUAUAUGACAUAUACUCGGGGCUUGUAACCGUACAGAGCUUGUUGUUGAGGCAAAUCAUACAAGAGGGUGACAAGAGUUCAUAUAUCACCUUGUCAGGCGCGGGAAUAAUUGCCUUGAUGACCAUUGUCAAGACUGUGGAUUCUGCAUUGUCCUCUUCAGAUCUUGUCGAUCAUUGUAUUACAUGAGAUGUAUCUCUGCUUAUCUUCAUUUGCAUGGCUCAUGAGGUUGUGGGAUCCUUACUUUCCUUAGGUAUAUCUGUUGGAUCCUUGCCGCAUCUUGUAUGAGUGACUGAUGUGACUGGGGAUGCAUGCUCACCAUAUAUAAAAAUCAUAUGCAACCAAACACUUGAUUCUUGGGGUAGGCAUAUGUUUUGACUGCAUUGUACCUCUGACAAAAUUAUUGCAAAUCUGACACUUGAACUGCACUUCUGCUCAAAGCUUUUGUCUGGGUAGCGUGCAGAAGAAGCCUCGAUAGCUUACACACGAAGCUUGACAUGAGUAUUGUACAGGAGAAGUCGGGUUUCCGUACUUGAGAAGCUUCUCCUCGGGUUGCUUGUCGAGAAGUAUUAAUUUUCCGUAUGUCAGAAGCUUUUACUGAGGUAUCUUGCUGUGUAAGACCGGGUAUCUUGGACCAGAAUUUGUUCACAUAUCAUGCUGAGGAAAAUUGAGGAGCCUUGCAUCAUAAAUUUCUUCCAAUAAUGUGUGGAAGAAGACUGAGUUUCUUACAUCCAAAGCUUCAUACUAAUAUGCAGACUGAAAUCUACACACACGCCCAUAAUAUUCUAUGGCUGAUUAUUUGCAUGAUAAAGUUUAUUUGACGGUCUUCCUUGAGCAUAUCACAUUCUGACUUUAUUUCGGAUGAUAACAUAUUUCAAGCAUCAUGCAUUGCUGAGCCAAAAUUUUGUAUAUGACCCAUACCUCUGACUGAAAAUAUAUCGUUGAGCUUACACCUGACUUGUCUUGUUGCGGACUUGAUUAUUACUGCUGUGAGAGUUUUGUACUGAUGUAGACUUGAGUUAUCCGUACUGUUGUGAGGAGUGCACACUAAUGCAAAAUUGAUUAUCAGCCUCAAAAUCAGAUAUUCCCCAUUUCACUGUAGUCGGCUGAGAAUUCCACUCUGUUUAGCUGAGUUUCCAAAUAUUUGAACUCCGUAUUACUUCUUCGAGUCCGGUGUCAGUUCAUGAGCAACUCCUUAUAGGGGAAAAAAUAAUGUAACACCGGGGCCCAAAAAGAAAGAAGCAAAAGAAAACUCAACUAAACAAAAGCACACAACAACAAUUAAUUCACACACAAUCAAUGUCACAUAUUACUGCUAGUCACACAAUAUGCAUGCCUACUUAAGCACACAAAUCUCGCCGGAUCUCCGGUUCUACGAUCUAGCAUGUUGUGAUGAUGUGCACGAGGACGAAUAAAUGUGUGGAAGAAUUGGUGUAAACAGCGCUACACCAAGUGCUAGCUUAGCCAGGUAGCAACCUGGACUAGCUCGGAGGCGAGGACGUACUUGGUAACCAUGUAGCAGGACACGAAUGUCGCGACCACAUUAUUAUCAAGCGGAUGGAAAAUAUCCGUACUCGUCCAAGAAAUAGGGAUAGCGGGGAAAAACUGAGUCUACUGGCAUUGCCCUUUCGUGAUGACUAAGAUCAUUAAGGGUUGGCAACACGACAAAAUAAAAAGGACGAUCCGGGAUAGAAGCAUGUCUACCACCGAAACAAAAUGGGGCUGAAAGAAAGAAAUCGGCGCUAUACCUGAGCACCAUUUUUGCAAACAGUGUCGGGAUCACUUGGCAUCACUCUGCUGGGGCAGAAAUGACACCAAACACCAAAAGAAAAAGGAACUGGAGAAAUGUAGAGGCUGAGCUGUAGUGGAUCCGAACCGAUGCCAGCUACACUCACCAGAUAAACCGUUAGUAACAAAUAAUAAGGCUAUAUGCAUGCUAUGCAACAAACAAAUGCAGCAACCAAAUACAAUAAACAAGUCGGACCUUAAACUACCGAUUUCUACCGCUCGCGCUGACUAGGGCGUCCUACAGCCAGACCUGCUAUGAUACCAAGCAUUGUGGCACCCCGGCUCAGAGAAACCGGAACGCCCCGUAUUCCAGCCUAGAGAUCGAGGAAAAGUCUCUGGAAUACGGCACUGCUUGACAUAGAACAAAUCAGCUCUUAUUACAAGAAUAAUAAUACAAGGGUCUGAUGUUACAAAGAAGCACAUCAGCACAGCGACACUACGCCUACGAUACUACACUUGCUCUAUGCUAGCAGCGGAAUACUUAUAGCAGCGGAACGACAACGAAGGUGGUGAAUCUCCACUCCGCAGGGACUCUGGCUGGGACACGAUCUAGCUCGCACGCACGGCAACCUCGACAAGCAAGCAAGCAAUCAUGGCAUCACCUGCAAUCUGGCAUGACAUGCCAGGUCAGUACAUUGAAUGUACUUGCAAGCUCACAACAACCAUAAACAUCAAGGCAAGACAAUAACAUAGCAUUAAGCAGGUUAAUUAAAUUAACAUCUACCAUGAUACGACAACAACUACUAAGCAUGAUAUGAAACUACUACAUUGUUGAUAAACCAACAACUCAUUCCCAACAACAAUAUCAUUCUUGGCUAACGGGCCAAGCAAUAUACCAUCUCGACCACCUCGUGGUCCAUAUGAUCACCUCGUGAUCAAAACAUCCACCUGAUCACCUCGUGAUCAACAUAUCCACACGGUCACCUCGUGACCACAUCACAAACUGAAUGAUCAUCCUCAAGAUCAUCUCAACAUCAUCAUCAACAUCCUGCCAAACUGUUACUGCUCACAUACAUCAUAUAAAUCAACUAUAAGUCAUUCCGUCAUGUGAGUGUUGAUCGAACGGUGUGACCUAGUAUGGACGCGGCUAUCGAUAGCUUAAACACACACUCUGCAGAGGUAGCGCACUGUACCC
rnacentral:lncRNA from 1 species